rnacentral:rRNA from 1 species
GUAUCAGUAAGCAGAGGAAAAGAAACCAACUGGGAUUUCCUGAGUAACUGCGAGUGAAAAGGGAGAAGCUCAGCGCUAAAGUUUGAGUCGACUCGAUUCGAACGGUGUAGCGUUUGGAAGGUCCUAUCUGUUGCGAGAAUGUGGUCUAAAUUUCGCUGGAACGCGAUUGCAGAGAUGGUUUUACACCAGUCUGGCCUCAUAUUCCGAUAGAGUAGACUUUCUGGGAGUCGGGUUGUUUGGAAACGCAGCCCAAAUCGGGUGGUAAACUUCACCUAAAGCUAAAUAUGACUACGAGACCGAUAGCGCACAAGUA